UGGGGAAUCUUGCACAAUGGGGGCAACCCUGAUGCAGCGACGCCGCGUGAGCGAUGAAGCCCUUCGGGGCGUAAAGCUCUUUCGACCGGAACGAUAAUGACGGUACCGGGAGAAGAAGCUGCGGCUAACUACGUGCCAGCAGCCGCGGUAAUACGUAGGCAGCAAGCGUUGUUCGGAGUUACCGGGCGUAAAGAGUGCGUAGGCGGUUUUGUAAGACAGAGGUGAAAUCCCCGGGCUCAACCUGGGAACUGCCUUUGUGACUGCAAGGCUGGAGUGCGGCAGAGGGGGAUGGAAUGCCGCGUGUAGCAGUGAAAUGCGUAGAUAUGCGGAGGAACACCGAUGGCGAAGGCAAUCCCCUGAGCCUGCACUGACGCUCAUGCACGAAAGCGUGGGGAGCAAACA
rnacentral:rRNA from 1 species